CAGCCGCCGCGGGAAUACGAGGGGGGCGAGCGUUGUUCGGAAUUAUUGGGCGUAAAGGGUGCGUAGGCGGUUCGGUAAGUCUUAUGUGAAAUCUUCGGGCUCAACUCGAAGUCUGCAUGAGAAACUGCCGGGCUUGAGUGUGGGAGAGGUGAGUGGAAUUUCCGGUGUAGCGGUGAAAUGCGUAGAUAUCGGAAGGAACACCUGUGGCGAAAGCGGCUCACUGGACCACAACUGACGCUGAUGCACGAAAGCUAGGGGAGCAAACAGGAUUAGAUACCCCCGUAGUCCCUGUCUCUUAUAC
rnacentral:rRNA from 1 species